rnacentral:rRNA from 1 species
UGGGGAAUUGUUCGCAAUGGGCGCAAGCCUGACGACGCAACGCCGCGUGGAGGAUGAAGAUCUUCGGGUUGUAAACUCCUGUCGAGCGGGACGAAUGUCCCGCGACCUAAUACGUCGCGGGAGUGACGGUACCGCGAGAGGAAGCCCCGGCUAACUCCGUGCCAGCAGCCGCGGUAAUACGGGGGGGGCAAGCGUUGUUCGGAAUUACUGGGCGUAAAGAGCUCGUAGGUGGCCGACUAAGUCAGACGUGAAAUCCCUCGGCUCAACCGAGGAACUGCGUCUGAAACUGAUCGGCUUGAAUCCGGGAGAGGGAUGCGGAAUUCCAGGUGUAGCGGUGAAAUGCGUAGAUAUCUGGAGGAACACCGGUGGCGAAGGCGGCAUCCUGGACCGGUAUUGACACUGAGGAGCGAAAGCCAGGGGAGCAAACGGG